rnacentral:rRNA from 1 species
GAUGAACGCUGGCGGCGUGCCUAAUACAUGCAAGUCGAACGAAACUUCUUUAUCACCGAGUGCUUGCACUCACCGAUAAAGAGUUGAGUGGCGAACGGGUGAGUAACACGUGGGCAACCUGCCCAAAAGAGGGGGAUAACACUUGGAAACAGGUGCUAAUACCGCAUAACCAUAGUUACCGCAUGGUAACUAUGUAAAAGGUGGCUAUACUACCGCUUUUGGAUGGGCCCGCGGCGCAUUAGCUAGUUGGUAGGGUAAAGGCUUACCAAGGCAAUGAUGCGUAGCCGAAUUGAGAGGUUGAUCGGCCACAUUGGGACUGAGACACGGCCCAAACUCCUACGGGAGGCAGCAGUAGGGAAUCUUCCACAAUGGGGGAAAGCCUGAUGGAGCAACGCCGCGUGGGUGAAGAAGGUCUUCGGAUCGUAAAACCCUGUUGUUAGAGAAGAAAGUGCGUGAGAGUAACUGUUCACGUUUCGACGGUAUCUAACCAGAAAGCCACGGCUAACUACGUG